GGCCGCGAAUUCGCCCUUAGGGUUUGAUUAUGGCUCAGAUUGAACGCUGGCGGCAGGCCUAACACAUGCAAGUCGAGCGGUAACAGGGGAAGCUUGCUUCCCGCUGACGAGCGGCGGACGGGUGAGUAAUGUAUGGGGAUCUGCCCGAUAGAGGGGGAUAACUACUGGAAACGGUAGCUAAUGCCGCAUAAUCUCUAAGGAGCAAAGCAGGGGAACUUCGGUCCUUGCGCUAUCGGAUGAACCCAUAUGGGAUUAGCUAGUAGGUGAGGUAAUGGCUCACCUAGGCGACGAUCCCUAGCUGGUCUGAGAGGAUGAUCAGCCACACUGGGACUGAGACACGGCCCAGACUCCUACGGGAGGCAGCAGUGGGGAAUAUUGCACAAUGGGCGCAAGCCUGAUGCAGCCAUGCCGCGUGUAUGAANAAGGCCCUAGGGUUGUAAAGUACUUUCAGUCGGGAGGAAGGCGUUGUUGCUAAUAUCAUCAACGAUUGACGUUACCGACAGAAGAAGCACCGGCNAACUCCGUGCCAGCANCCGCGGUAAUACGGAGGGUGCAAGCGUUAAUCG
rnacentral:rRNA from 1 species